AUGGCGGGUCGCGCUCUUUUGCUCGCUGUCCUCGUCCUGACAGCGCAGCUGUGCGGGUGCACGGCGUACGUCGGCGAUGGCGGCGGGUUUAGCGUGGAGUUCAUCCACCGGGACUCUCCCAAGUCGCCGUUCCACGACCCGUCUUUGACCUCGUACGACCGCGUGCUCGCCGCCGUGCGGCGCUCCACGGCGCGCUCGUCGUACGCAGGCGGCUCUCCUGGCGGCGCCGUGUCGGAGGUAGUGUCCACUCCGUUCGAGUACCUGAUCAACGGGACCGCCGGCCCUCCGCCGGGCGCGCCGCUGAGCGCCGUCUUCGACCCGUCCUCCUCGUCGUCCUACGGCCUCGUGGGCUGCCGGUCCGACUCGUGCCGCGCGACCUACGGCACCUCCUGCGGCGCCGACUCCUUCUGCCGGUACCGUUCCACGUACUCCGACGGCUCCACGGCGACCGGCAUCCUCUCCACCGAGACCUUCACCUUCGACGACGCUCCCGGCGUCUGCGUAGGAUGCCGCGCACGCUCGCAGCUGCUAGUGCCCAGAGUGAUCUUCGGCUGCGCCACGAACGUGACCGGCAAGGCGUUCCGCUUGACCGGCAACGUCGGCCUCGGCGCCGGGAGCGGCUCCCUCGUGAACCAGAUCGGCGCCGCGACGUCGCUCGGCCGGAGGUUCUCGUACUGCCUCGCGCCCUUCUUCGUCGACGCCUCCUCCAUCCUCAGCUUCGGCGCCCGCGCCGCCGUGACGGAGCCGGGCGCGGUGACCACGCCGCUGAUCCCGUCCGCGGUGGACGCCUUCUACACAGUCCUCCUCGCGUCCGUCAGGAUCGGGAACUCGACCAUCGCGCCGCCGAAGCGGUCCCCCGUCAUCGUCGACUCCGGCACGGUGCUGACGUACCUCGACAAGGCGCUGCUGGACCAGGUCGUGGCGGAGGUCGCCCGGCGCAUCAAGCUCCCGCGGAAGCAGUCGCCGGAGAAGCUGGUGGAUCUGUGCUACGACGUGGCCGGUGAGUCGUCCGAGGCCUGGGCGAAGCUUUUCCCGGAAGUGACGCUGGGGUUUGGCGGCGGCGCCGCGAUCACCCUGCCGGCGCGUAACGCGUUCGUGGAGGCGCGGAAGGGGACCGUGUGCCUGGCGAUGUCGCCGGUGACGGAUGAUGGGCCGGUGGUGGCGACGAUCGGGAGCAUCGCGCAGCAGGACUUUCACGUCGGCUUCGACCUGGACAAGCGCGCCAUCACCUUCGCCGCCGCCGACUGCGCCAGCUCUUAG
rnacentral:rRNA from 1 species